CUUUACAAUCUGCUACCAAGAUUGUUAAGGUUUAUAAUUAUAGAGAAAAGAGACAUUUAAAUAUCAUUUAGUAUAUAUCACAUUAAGAACAAUAUACCAGUUAUUAACGCAUUGAUAUCUUCAAUAAUUAUGGCUAGUAAAAUUACACUUUUUACUUAUCGGAUUACUUGUUUUCACAAGUUUUUGCGAAUUUGAGGCCGAUGCAGGUAAUAUGAAAUGUUAUUGCGACACGAGCUGUUCAAAUGGAGGGUCACAACAGUUCAACUAUUUAUGCUACCCUUGCUUUCCACCCAAAGUAUGUUGUUGCAAGAAAACGUUACCAAUACAAAAAUAAGCUCGAAGCAUGCCGUUAUUAAAACUGAACAUCUGAAGAAAGAAUCCAUUUCUUUUAGAAAGUAUUAAUAAAGUGAAGAAAUUAAUAAA